CAUUUGCAGACAUCAUCUGCCAGCCGGGACCUUGAACGGGCCAGUCAGGUAAAAUCUACCAUGACAACUGGAAGUAUCCAAGGCUGCAUUACUGAAAUUUAAAUUGGUCCUGUAGAUGGACACCAUCAGCAGCUGCAGUGGAUUCAUUGAUGAGCUUCCUUCCUGCCAGUUUAAUGAGGUUUGGUCCACUGAUGGAUUUUUUGACACACCUUUUGAAGCAGACAUGCCU